UACGAAGGGGGCUAGCGUUGUUCGGAAUUACUGGGCGUAAAGCGCGUGUAGGCGAAUAUGCAAGCUAGGGGUGAAAGCCCGGGGCUCAACCUCGGAACUGCCUUUAGAACUGCAUAUCUGGAGUAUUGGAGGGGAGUGCGGAAUUCCUAAUGUAGAGGUGAAAUUCGUAGAUAUUAGGAGGAACACCGGUGGCGAAGGCGGCACUCUGGACAAUUACUGACGCUGAGACGCGAAAGCGUGGGGAGCAAACAGG
rnacentral:rRNA from 1 species